GCUUUAUAAUAAUUGAUGCUAAACCUUUUCUUAUAUUCCACUUCAGACUGAUAAUCUUUUGGCCUCAUAUUAUGACUCUUAAGCUCCUGUUCUUGUUUUCUUCUACCUUUCAUGUUUCUCACUUCAUCUCAUCUGUUUGGGAUUGAAAGAUCUAGUACUUAUGUCUCUGAUGCUUUUUCUAAUUUUAUUUUUAUUUUUUGUUGCAGAUUGCAUGUAGAGACUAUCCU
rnacentral:misc_RNA from 1 species